GCCCCUGUAAUUUAAUGGAUAAAAUAGACCCGUCCUAAGGGUCCUAUGCAGGUUCGAUUCCUGCUGGGGGCA
rnacentral:tRNA from 1 species